rnacentral:rRNA from 43 species
CUCUCGGCAAUGGAUAUCUCGGCUCUCGCAUCGAUGAAGAGCGCAGCGAAAUGCGAUACGUGGUGCGAAUUGCAGAAUCCCGCGAACCA